GCGGGUAUAAUUUAGUGGUAAAAUACGUCUUUGCCAAAGACGAAAUCUGGGUCCGAUUCCCAGUAUCCGCA
rnacentral:tRNA from 1 species